UACAGAGGUCCCGAGCGUUGUUCGGAUUCACUGGGCGUAAAGGGUGCGUAGGCGGUUCUGAAAGUCUGAUGCGAAAUCUCCAGGCCCAACCUGGAAACUGCAUUAGAAACUACAGGGCUAGAGGCUUGGAGGGGGAACUGGAAUUCUCGGUGUAGCAGUGAAAUGCGUAGAGAUCGAGAGGAACACCAGUGGCGAAGGCGAGUUCCUGGACAAGUCCUGACGCUGAGGCACGAAAGCCAGGGGAGCAAACAGG
rnacentral:rRNA from 1 species